rnacentral:tRNA from 1 species
GAGCCGCUAGCUCAGUUGGUAGAGCACCAGCCUCUUAAGCUGUGGGUCGUAGGUUCGAAUCCUACGCGGCUCACCA